GCAAAGGAAGACAAAGAACUGAUUUUGCCUGAGCUGGCAGCAUUUUCCUCUUGGCCUUGCUGUUCAAGGAGCAUUUUCAGAUUGGCAGGAGGCACUUAUGCCGUUGAUGAGAAACUCGCAGGAGCAAACAUGGAGUAUGAAUACCACUGAAACAAAUUUCAAAGAGAUCCAGGUCUGCUGUGGUUGAUCUUCCUCUCUACCAUCAUCUCAUUCUGACUAUGGAUAAAAGCACCUGUUUCUUGAUUUAAAGAAAACUGCUGCAGAAUUCAGUGGAGGGCUGGAAGGACAAAUGCUACGUUGGUGGAGUUCACCAGUACCCUUGUAUCCACUGUUCUUCCACUGACAGAAAAUAGUUUCUUGCCACUAUGUGAAGACACAG
ensembl:lncRNA